rnacentral:rRNA from 1 species
CAAGGAAUCUUCCGCAAUGGGGGCAACCCUGACGGAGCAACGCCGCGUGGGGGAUGACGCCCUUCGGGGUGUAAACCCCUUUUCUGCGGGACGAAGGCGGGGGCGACCUCGCUUGACGGUACCGGAGGAAGAAGGACCGGCUAACUACGUGCCAGCAGCCGCGGUAAUACGUAGGGUCCGAGCGUUGUCCGGAGUUACUGGGCGUAAAGCGCGCGCAGGCGGCGGUGCUGGCCCGGCGUGAAAGCCCCCGGCUCAACCGGGGAGGGUCGUCGGGGACCGCACCGCUUGAGGGCGGUAGGGGCUGGUGGAAUGCCUGGUGUAGUGGUGAAAUGCGUAGAGAUCAGGCGGAACACCUGUGGCGAAGGCGGCCAGCUGGGCCGUCCCUGACGCUGAGGCGCGAAGGCGUGGGGAGCGAACGGGAUUAGAUACCCCGGUAGUCCACGCAGUAAACGAUGCCGACUAGGCGUGGGGGGAGUUGACCCCCUCCGUGCCGGAGCUAACGCGGGAAGUCGGCCGCC